rnacentral:rRNA from 1 species
UACAGAGGGGGCAAGCGUUGUUCGGAAUUACUGGGCGUAAAGGGCGCGUAGGCGGCCUGCUAAGUCGAACGUGAAAUCCCUGGGCUCAACCCAGGAACUGCGUCCGAUACUGGUUGGCUUGAAUCCGGGAGAGGGACGUGGAAUUCCAGGUGUAGCGGUGAAAUGCGUAGAUAUGACAUAGAACACCAAUUGCGAAGGCAGCUCACUACACAAUUAUUGACUCUGAGGCACGAAAGCGUGGGGAUCAAACAGG